rnacentral:rRNA from 1 species
AUUGAACGCUGGCGGCAUGCCUUACACAUGCAAGUCGAACGGCAGCACGGAGCUUGCUCUGGUGGCGAGUGGCGAACGGGUGAGUAAUAUAUCGGAACGUACCCUAGAGUGGGGGAUAACGUAGCGAAAGUUACGCUAAUACCGCAUACGAUCUAAGGAUGAAAGUGGGGGAUCGCAAGACCUCAUGCUCGUGGAGCGGCCGAUAUCUGAUUAGCUAGUUGGUAGGGUAAAAGCCUACCAAGGCAUCGAUCAGUAGCUGGUCUGAGAGGACGACCAGCCACACUGGAACUGAGACACGGUCCAGACUCCUACGGGAGGCAGCAGUGGGGAAUUUUGGACAAUGGGCGAAAGCCUGAUCCAGCAAUGCCGCGUGAGUGAAGAAGGCCUUCGGGUUGUAAAGCUCUUUUGUCAGGGAAGAAACGGUGAGAGCUAAUAUCUCUUGCUAAUGACGGUACCUGAAGAAUAAGCACCGGCUAACUACGUGCCAGCAGCCGCGGUAAUACGUAGGGUGCAAGCGUUAAUCGGAAUUACUGGGCGUAAAGCGUGCGCAGGCGGUUUUGUAAGUCUGAUGUGAAAUCCCCGGGCUCAACCUGGGAAUUGCAUUGGAGACUGCAAGGCUAGAAUCUGGCAGAGGGGGGUAGAAUUCCACGUGUAGCAGUGAAAUGCGUAGAUAUGUGGAGGAACACCGAUGGCGAAGGCAGCCCCCUGGGUCAAGAUUGACGCUCAUGCACAAAAGCGUGGGGAGCAAACAGGAUUAGAUACCCUGGUAGUCCACGCCCUAAACGAUGUCUACUAGUUGUCGGGUCUUAAUUGACUUGGUAACGCAGCUAACGCGUGAAGUAGACCGCCUGGGGAGUACGGUCGCAAGAUUAAAACUCAAAGGAAUUGACGGGGACCCGCACAAGCGGUGGAUGAUGUGGAUUAAUUCGAUGCAACGCGAAAAACCUUACCUACCCUUGACAUGGCUGGAAUCCCCGAGAGAUUGGGGAGUGCUCGAAAGAGAACCAGUACACAGGUGCUGCAUGGCUGUCGUCAGCUCGUGUCGUGAGAUGUUGGGUUAAGUCCCGCAACGAGCGCAACCCUUGUCAUUAGUUGCUACGAAAGGGCACUCUAAUGAGACUGCCGGUGACAAACCGGAGGAAGGUGGGGAUGACGUCAAGUCCUCAUGGCCCUUAUGGGUAGGGCUUCACACGUCAUACAAUGGUACAUACAGAGCGCCGCCAACCCGCGAGGGGGAGCUAAUCGCAGAAAGUGUAUCGUAGUCCGGAUUGUAGUCUGCAACUCGACUGCAUGAAGUUGGAAUCGCUAGUAAUCGCGGAUCAGCAUGUCGCGGUGAAUACGUUCCCGGGUCU